rnacentral:rRNA from 1 species
GACGAACGCUGGCGGCGUGCCUAAUACAUGCAAGUUGAGCGCUGAAGGUUGGUACUUGUACCAACUGGAUGAGCAGCGAACGGGUGAGUAACGCGUGGGGAAUCUGCCUUUGAGCGGGGGACAACAUUUGGAAACGAAUGCUAAUACCGCAUAAAAACUUUAAACACAAGUUUUAAGUUUGAAAGAUGCAAUUGCAUCACUCAAAGAUGAUCCCGCGUUGUAUUAGCUAGUUGGUGAGGUAAAGGCUCACCAAGGCGAUGAUACAUAGCCGACCUGAGAGGGUGAUCGGCCACAUUGGGACUGGGACACGGCCCAAACUCCUACGGGAGGCAGCAGUAGGGAAUCUUCGGCAAUGGACGAAAGUCUGACCGAGCAACGCCGCGUGAGUGAAGAAGGUUUUCGGAUCGUAAAACUCGGUUGGUAGAGAAGAACGUUGGUGAGAGUGGAAAGCUCAUCAAGUGACGGUAACUACCCAGAAAGGGACGGCUAACUACGUG